rnacentral:lncRNA from 1 species
CAGAAAUGAAUUUCAAAAUACAAUGACAUAUAGGAAAUAUGUUCUAUCGGAUAUCAUUCACGUUUCUCCAUCGUAUUAAAAAUGAAAUUAUCAGUUAUUUAACUUGCGUGAAACUAUUGGUUAGCUUGCUUUUUGCAGCAAUAAAAUGUUUUAUUUAUUUACAUCCUGAGAUAAGCCAACUUUUAAAACCGACCUAUAAUUUAAAAAAGUAUUAUGUUAACUUGUUUUUUUAUACCCCCGCUUUGAAAAAAAGGGGGGUAUACUGUUUUACCUCUGUCUGUCCUUCCAUCAGUCCGUCAGUCCAUCAGUCCAUCAGUCCAUCAGUCCGUCAGUCUGUCAGUCAGUCCGUCCGUCCCAUGAAUAUUUUUCG